GCCAUGUGUGAGCCUUGGCAGGGGCGAAGCUGGGUAAUAGGGCAACUUUUUUUUUUUGGCAUAGAGCUGUUAGUUUAAAGCUGGGGAAAAAAGGGAUAAAUAAAACUUGAUACAGUCAUUCUAGAAAGGAUUUGCAUGGGUCCAGAAAAGGGUCAAGUUCAAUGGCGGAACCCAGAAGAGACCCUGAGAAGAUGAGGUCCGGGGCCGUUGUCCACCCUGGCAGACGCACGCCAGGACUCAGGGCCACCGCUCUUCCGUUGUCAUCGUAACCUCUCGGACAGAACCCGCCGUUGAAAGACAGUAGACGCUGCUCCGCGGACAAGUUUAUGACCCAGUUUCUGACCAAGAGCACUCGGGGGGACGGGCAGCAAGGGCGUAGAACUCAGCUCGGGGCUAAUUAGAACCCAGACGCGAAGCAGCAGCUGUUCUUCGGGGUGAACUUUUGCAGGGAGGAUUUCAAGAGGCUGAUUCUUCUUGGAAGUCUGUUUGCAGAGCGGUUCUUUCCUGGCUGUGGCCCAUCCUCCUUUGGAGGCCAAGUUUCACUCAGUGGGAGCCUGUGCCAACCCGGGCCUUGACCUUGAGGCUCUGGGGCUGCCCGCUGCGCUUGACCCUGCAGCCUGGAGGGUGUCGGGCCGAGCAGAACCGGGAGGGAGGAGGGUCAGGGAGGAGGGUCCUCUACAGGCUCCAGGGGGCUUCCCCCUUCAGUCUGGAGCUGAGGAAGAGAAGUGAAGGGCAUGUUGGGGACAGAGAGAGAGAGAGGGAGUGCGUGUGUGAGUGUGUGUGAGUGUGUGUGUGUGUGUUUCUCCUGCCCAUUUCCUCCCUCAUAAACCCUGGGCGGGCCCCUGCCUCCCCCCAGCUUUCCCGUGAACUCCUGGACCCGCUCGCCCUCUCCUCUGCACUCUGUGAGAGCUGAGCUGGUUUCUCCUUCCCUGUAGGAUGUGAGAACGUAUUUUUCAGGGAAAAUUGUGAGAAGCGAAUUAAGAGCGAUCUGGAGUUCACGCAUGACACAGGCUGCAGGACACGUGAAAUCUACGUGCAAAGAGCUCUUUAAAUGGGUGAGGAAAAGAAACCCCUAAUGUCCACUCUUAGAGAGAGAAUCAGGUGUCCCUCGCGAGCGCUUUGCUCUUCACGGUGACGCGUGGCUGCCUGGAACGGCCAAGCUGCCCUGGCCGCGGUGCUGAGGUGCUUCCUGCUUCCCCGCGUGGUUGGUGUGUCACCCAGGUUGGUGACUUCAGCUGAGGGUCUCACCCUGCCUCUGCCUCUUCACGUGCCACCGAAGGAAAGGGAAACGGAGACUAUUGGAAAGGGUCCUCCUUCCCGCCUUCCCGCCUCCUCAGUCCUAAAGGUGUAUGUACUGCAAGUCAGACCCUGUGGUGGAAGUCUCUCCCUCCCGUUUGUUUCCCAGUCUCCAAAGGUUAGGGGGAAAGAAGUCUCUGAAAUGCUGUGCUUUCUCCAGUGACAACAUGUGUGGCACAAGGAAUGCGCUAGGAGGAGAAAGAUGCUCCUUAACUUACAGUGGGGCUACGUGUCGAGAAAACCCAUCAUCGGUUGGAACUAUAUUAAGUGAAAGAUUCAUUCCGUGCCCUGGACCCACUGCACAUCACGGCUCCGCCUCAGGGCACACUGCCUGUCUCCCUCCUGAUCCUGCUGUGGUCUGGGACGUGUGUCUCCCGGACCCAGGAAGCCGUCCAAGUUGUACAAUCUGAAGGGCAGUUUGGGCUGGAUGCACUUGGCUUUCACGUCAUCUGCCAGAAGUCACAAGUGGCACCAGGAGCUCGGGGACCAUGGCUCUCUGUCUCUUGCCCCUGUGCCUUACCUUAUCUCUCCUCUGUAUUGGCAUCACCUCUCUUCCGCGACUCCGUUCCUAAAUCCUCUCAAGGGCCCAUGUCAGUCAGCAUCUCGGAUUCUGCCUCCUGUAAUGCCCUUGAUUUCCAGUGAUGCUUUACGAGGCCCAAACCCUCCCACGUGGCCUCGCUAGCUAAGCUCCGGCCUAUCAACUAGACCCUGAUCUUCUUCCUUCGUGGUGGCCAGUGACUGUCCGGGCUGGAUAGACACAUUCUGGGUGGAACCUACUGUACUUUCCCUGGAAGGGAGUUGAAGAAGCCAAUUGUUAACUGGACACGUUGCAUAACUGCCACCCGCUGAAACGUAUCAGAAGAAGCAGGCUGGAAAGGGAGCUCUGGAGGACGUUGUCUGUGGCCUGUAGACAGGACACGCAGUUUUGAGUGCUGGUAGGGUGUGAUGCCGUCUGUCAGCCACGUCCCAAGAGCAGGAGGGACUUGAAGACCAGCAAGGCGCUUCCUUUGUGGUCACUCUUUCUCAGGAAGAAAUGCAGCCUAGAGAAGCUGUGGUGGACCCAGGGACCAGAGAGGUUGCUGGAGAGGAGAGGGAGGGGCAUGUUCUCAAGUCCAGCUGGUCCUGUGAGUCACUUGACAUCAUCUGUGACAUGGGGACACCUCACGGGGUUGUCGGCAGUUUACUCUGGGCGUGAUUGGGCGACCCCUGCCAGACUGCUUGUGACCUGCAGGCUGGGUGGCGACGACCGCAGAGCGGGUUCCCGCAUGGACCUUGGUCUUGGCUCCCUCUGUCCUUGAACCUCUCCGAAGGAGGUAGCUGGCCUUGUUGAAGGAAGUGAGGGUGCUGUGAUCUUCUCCCUAAAAACUUGGCUUGAGUCCUAGGUUCAAACUCUGCUUUGUACCCUGACCACCCGGGGACUGACUGAGGGGCCCAGCCAGGGCUGCCGGCCACCUUCACCGUGUCCACCAUGAUUAACAGACCAGUGGUGGAUCGUAAACCCACGUCCUGGGUCCCCAUCACCUCCGGCUUCCUGACACCCUACCUAUGUGGUCUUAUGACUUGCAAACAGCCGAGGAGAUUUCUGAAGGAAGAGCCAUCCCUUGUAAAUGUUAGAAACACACACACAUCCCAGAGGUCUGCAGGUGCUUGUGGACAGCAGGGAAGCCGAGCCCCUGCCCUGGUCACUCUUGCAGUCCCUGGCGGGCCCAGUGGACAGUUUGUUUCCUUCUGGCCUCUGGUUGGACUUGAUGCUGAACAGCACGUUGCGGGUGGGGACUGGGUCGCCGUGCUGGGCCCCCGGCUGCACCGCCCCUCCUACCUGAGACCUUUGUUAACUCUGUUUCGUCUUUAAGGAAAGUCUGUGUUCAUCAGGAUACAGAAAGGAGGAGAGCACUAUUCUGUGUCUGCCGA